GACGAACGCUGGCGGCGUGCUUAACACAUGCAAGUCGAACGGUAAGGCCCUUCGGGGUACACGAGUGGCGAACGGGUGAGUAACACGUGGGUGAUCUGCCCUGCACUUCGGGAUAAGCCUGGGAAACUGGGUCUAAUACCGGAUAGGACCACUGCCUGCAUGGGUGGAGGUGGAAAGCUUUUGCGGUGUGGGAUGGGCCCGCGGCCUAUCAGCUUGUUGGUGGGGUGAUGGCCUACCAAGGCGACGACGGGUGGCCGGCCUGAGAGGGUGACCGGCCACACUGGGACUGAGAUACGGCCCAGACUCCUACGGGAGGCAGCAGUGGGGAAUAUUGCACAAUGGGCGCAAGCCUGAUGCAGCGACGCCGCGUGAGGGAUGACGGCCUUCGGGUUGUAAACCUCUUUCAGCACCGACGAAGCGCAAGUGACGGUAGGUGCAGAAGAAGGACCGGCCAACUACGUGCCAGCAGCCGCGGUAA
rnacentral:rRNA from 1 species